CCUACGGGAGGCAGCAGUGGGGAAUAUUGCGCAAUGGGCGAAAGCCUGACGCAGCGACGCCGCGUGAGGGAUGAAGGUUUUCGGAUCGUAAACCUCUGUCAGCAGGGACGAACGGUCACUGUGCUAAUCAGCAAUGAGUUGCCGGUACCUGCAAAGGAAGCACCGGCUAACUCCGUGCGUGCAGCCGCGGUAAUACGGAGGGUGGGAGCUUUAAUCGGAAUUACGGGGCGUAAAGCGCUCGUUGGCGGUAUGUCAAGUCAAGGGUGAAAUCCCCGCGCUCAACGUGGGAACUGCCUUUGAAACUGGCAAACUGGAGUGUGGGAGAGGAUAGUGGAAGUCCAGGUGUAGGAGUGAAAUGCGUAGAUAUCUGGAGGAACAUCAGUGGCGAAGGCGACUAUCUGGCACAUAACUGACGCUGAGGAGCGAAAGCGUGGGUAGCAAACAGGAUUAGAUACCCCAGUAGUC
rnacentral:rRNA from 1 species